GUACACGCUGUGACUAGCAUAUCAAUAAGCGGAGGAAAAGAAACUAACAAGGAUUCCCCUAGUAACGGCGAGUGAAGCGGGAAGAGCUCAAAUUUGAAAUCUUAAAGGGUUUCCCUUUACGAAUUGUAGUUUAAAGAAGUGUUUUUCUGUUGAGGUUUUGGUAAAAGUUCUUUGGAAUAGGACAUCAUAGAGGGUGAGAAUCCCGUAUUUGACCUUUACUUUCAACUUUGUGAUACACUUUCAAAGAGUCGGAUUGUUUGGGAAUGCAGUCCAAAAUGGGUGGUAAAUUUCAUCUAAAGCUAAAUAUUGGCGAGAGACCGAUAGCGAACAAGUACCGUGAGGGAAAGAUGAAAAGAACUUUGAAAAGAGAGUUAAACAGUACGUGAAAUUGUCAAAAGGGAAGCGUUUGACACCAGUGUUGUUUUUCCUGAAAAUCAAUUAAAGAACUGUUUAUGCUAAGUUGUUUAGACUUUAUCAGCUAUCUGUUUAGUUUUCGAGCUUUUCUUUAAUGCACUUUUCAGUUAACAAGUCAACAUCAAUUUCUUUUGCUGUAAAAAAGCUUGAGGAAGGUGGCUUGAGAUUCGUCUUAAGUGUUUAUAGCCUCUUGCCUAUGCAGUCGGAGAGAUUGAGGUCUGCAGCGUAGAUCCUUCGGGGCUAAAUGCAUUUGUGCUAAGUUAUAGCAUUUUAUAGACAACUUGUUGACUAUGAUUUGUCUUGUAGCUUACUCGCUUAUGUUAUUUUACCUACGCUUAGGAUGUUGAAGAUGUAGCACAUCAU
rnacentral:rRNA from 1 species